rnacentral:rRNA from 1 species
CCUACGGGUGGCAGCAGUGGGGAAUAUUGCACAAUGGGCGAAAGCCUGAUGCAGCAACGCCGCGUGAAGGAAGACGGUCUUCGGAUUGUAAACUUCUGUUCUUAGUGAAGAAUAAUGACGGUAACUAAGGAUCAAGCCACGGCUAAAUAAGUGCCAGAAGCCGGGGUAAUAUGUAGGUGGCAAGCGGUGUCCGGAAUUACUUGGUGUAAAGGGAGCGUAGGGGGGUUGCUAAGUCAGCUGGUAAAAUUACGGGCUUAAACGGUGGACUGCAGUUGAGACUGGCAGUCUUGAGUGAUGUAGAGGUAGGCGGAAUUCCGGGUGUAGCGGUGAAAUGCGUAGAUAUACGGAAGAACACCGAUGGCGAAGGCAGCCAACUGGGUUUAAACUGACGCUGAGGCUCGAAAGUGUGGGGAGCAAACAGGAUUAGAUACCCCGGUAGUC